rnacentral:rRNA from 1 species
UACGGAGGGUGCAAGCGUUAUCCGGAUUCACUGGGUUUAAAGGGAGCGCAGGCGGAUUUGUAAGUCAGUGGUGAAAGGCUUAAGCUUAACUUGGGAACUGCCAUUGAUACUAUAAGUCUUGAAUGUUGUUGAGGUUUGCGGAAUGGGUCAUGUAGCGGUGAAAUGCAUAGAUAUGACCCGGAACACCUAUUGCGAAGGCAGCAGGCUAAACAAAUAUUGACGCUGAGGCUCGAAGGCGUGGGGAUCAAACAGG